rnacentral:rRNA from 1 species
UACAGAGGGUGCGAGCGUUAAUCGGAGUUACUGGGCGUAAAGGGCGCGUAGGCGGUUAUAAGAGUGUGAUGUGAAAGCCCCGGGCUUAACCUGGGAAGUGCAUCGCAAACGUUAUAACUGGAGUAUAUGAGAGGGUGGCGGAAUUUCCGGUGUAGCGGUGAAAUGCGUAGAUAUCUGGAGGAACACCGGUGGCGAAGGCGGCAUCCUGGACCAAUAUUGACGCUGAGGAGCGAAAGCCAGGGGAGCAAACGGG